CUGGGAUAGCCCGGGCGCAAGACUUUGAGCGAGAUUCUUGUAAGAUGGAGUUGAAGCCGCCGACGUGCUCAUUUUACGCCUGGGAGCUCUAAGAGCCACUGUACUCCUAAAAGGAAGCAUUGCCCCAAGUCUGGAAUGGGCUUAUUCCUGCUGGAAUACUGAGGAAAUCCACACUGAAAGAAAUAAUAAGCACUGCACUGACCAUAGAAAAACUGAAAGAAGCUGAAUCACCUGCCCAAGGUGCCACUGGCAGGAUUUGAAUCCAGAUCUUCCUGAGCCUAGGCAUCUCUCUGCAUCUGGGCCAACGGUGGUGGCGUACUUGACUCUCUGGAGCUUCCGCAGAUGCGGCCGCCCACCACCCAACGCUGGGAGAAAGGCCGGACCAGAAGUAAGCACGCCACACUCCUGCUGAGUCCCGCCCAGGGAAAGAAGGCAGAAGUGGGACUUGGGGACCAGCCAGGAGGCUCUCAGCUUCACCUUCAAUGUUUGGGUUCACUUCUCAAAGGGAGAACACAUGCAUAUAUUUAACAGCAGAGUUUUAAAAAGAAUUGAAGCAGACAUGACAAAAAAGUUAUUUGUUGUUAAUCUGGCUGGUGAUUUUGAGUGAUUAUUAUGCUAUUUUUUUGACUUCUCUGAUUUUUAAUCUCUCAAAAUAAUUAAACAAAAGCAAUACAAGCACGUAAUAGAGUUUGUUAUACACAAAAGUUAAAGCUGAGUGCUUUACGUGAUUAUCUCACUGAAUGUUUCCCACAUUCCUAGGAAGGGGCUAUUAUUUGCAUCCCCCAUUUUAUAGAUGGGGACACUGAGGCUCAGAGACCCUGUGGCAGGUCUGCUGGCUUUUACCCCAACUUCCACACUGCAUGGAAGCUCAGGAAAGCCUUGAGUUUCCCCUCUGCUGGAUCACCUGGCACUGAGGGGAUGAGGCCCAUGUCCUAUGUAUUAGUUAUCUAUUCUGUGCAAUAAAUCAUCCCCAAAUGCA